UGCCAGCAGCCGCGGUAACACGGGGGGCGCAAGCGUUAUUCGGAAUUAUUGGGCGUAAAGGGCGUGUAGGCGGGAAAGUGUGUGAUCGGUGAAAGCCUGGGGCUCAACCCCAGAAGUGCUGAUCAAACUGCUUUUCUAGAGACAGUCAGAGGUUAGCAGAAUUCUUGGUGUAGAGGUGAAAUUCGUAGAGAUCAAGAGGAAUACCAGCGGCGAAGGCGGCUGACUGGGACUUGUCUGACGCUGAGGCGCGAAAGCGUGGGGAGCAAACAGGAUUAGAUA
rnacentral:rRNA from 1 species